rnacentral:hammerhead_ribozyme from 1 species
AUCCAGUUGACGAGUCUCAACAUAGGAUGAAACACGUGUCCUGUAU